GACGAACGCUGGCGGCGUGCUUAACACAUGCAAGUCGAACGGAAAGGCCCUGCUUUUGUGGGGUGCUCGAGUGGCGAACGGGUGAGUAACACGUGAGUAACCUGCCCUUGACUUUGGGAUAACUUCAGGAAACUGGGGCUAAUACCGGAUAGGAGCUCCUGCUGCAUGGUGGGGGUUGGAAAGUUUCGGCGGUUGGGGAUGGACUCGCGGCUUAUCAGCUUGUUGGUGGGGUAGUGGCUUACCAAGGCUUUGCCGGGUAGCCGGCCUGAGAGGGUGACCGGCCACAUUGGGACUGAGAUACGGCCCAGACUCCUACGGGAGGCAGCAGUGGGGAAUAUUGCACAAUGGGCGGAAGCCUGAUGCAGCAACGCCGCGUGCGGGAUGACGGCCUUCGGGCUGUAAACCGCUUUCGCCUGUGACGAAGCGUGAGUGACGGUAAUGGGUAAAGAAGCACCGGCUAACUACGUG
rnacentral:rRNA from 1 species